AAUUUAAAGUCUAAUCUGCCCACUGAUAAUUUAAAGGGCCGCAGUAUUUUGACUGUGCAAAGGUAGCAUAAUCAUUUGUCUUUUAAUUGGAGACUGGAAUGAAUGAUUGGAUGAGGUAUUAACUGUCUCAUUGUUAAAAUUUUAAAAAUUUAUUUUUUUAGUUAAAAAACUAAAAUAAAUUUAAAAGACGAGAAGACCCUAUAGAUUUUUAUAAUCAUUAUAUUUAUAAAAUAGUAGAAUUGAAUUUAUUAUAAAUUAUAUGUUUAUUAUGUUGGGGUGACAGGAAAAUUUAAUUAACUUUUUUUGAAUAAAUAACCAAUGAUUUUUGUAUAUAGGUUUUUGAUCCAAUAUUAUUGAUUAAAAAUUUAAGUUACCUUAGGGAUAACAGCGUAAUUUUUUUUAAGAGUUCAUAUCGAAAAAAAAGAUUGCGACC
rnacentral:rRNA from 1 species